rnacentral:rRNA from 1 species
UACAGAGGGUGCAAGCGUUGUUCGGAAUUACUGGGCGUAAAGCGCGUGUAGGUGGCAUCGCAAGUCGGAUGUGAAAGCCCGGGGCUCAACCCCGGAAGUGCAUUCGAUACUGCGAAGCUAGAGUCUCGGAGAGGAUGGUGGAACUCUCGGUGUAGAGGUGAAAUUCGUAGAUAUCGAGAAGAACACCGGCGGCGAAGGCGGCCAUCUGGACGAUGACUGACACUGAGACGCGAAAGCGUGGGGAGCAAACAGG